rnacentral:rRNA from 1 species
CUUUCUUUUGCUGGCGACCGGCGCACGGGUGAGUAACACGUAUCCAACCUGCCUUUACUCGGGGAUAGCCUUUCGAAAGAAAGAUUAAUACCCGAUAGCAUAAUGAUUCCGCAUGGUUUCAUUAUUAAAGGAUUCCGGUAAAGGAUGGGGAUGCGUUCCAUUAGGUUGUUAGUGAGGUAACGGCUCACCAAGCCUUCGAUGGAUAGGGGUUCUGAGAGGAAGGUCCCCCACAUUGGAACUGAGACACGGUCCAA